rnacentral:rRNA from 1 species
CUAAGGUAGCGUAAUAGGUCGUCCUUUAAUUGGGGAAAAGUAUGAAUGGUCAGAUGGUGGAAAACUUUAUUGGAAAUAAUAGCUUGAAAUUUACUUCUUAGUGCAAAGGCUAAGAUAGAUUUACUAGACGAGAAGACCCUGUUGAGCUUAAUAUGGUGCAGUCUUUGUUGGCUGUAAGAUACGUUUAUUCGGGGCCGAAAGGAAGGGACAAACAUUCCUUCUUGGUGUUGUGCGGAUCCAACAUGGUUGAAAAGAAGAAGAAGUUACCACAGGGAUAACAGCGCAAUCUUCUUGUCAAGGCCUUAUUUGAGGCUAGGGUUUGC